AACGAACGCUGGCGGCGUGGCUAAGACAUGCAAGUCGAACGGACUGGUCAAUUUAUUGAACAGUUAGUGGCGAAAGGGUUAGUAACGGAUGGGUAACGUACCCUGUGCUUUGGGAUAGCGUCAUCCCGAUUUAUCGGGAUUUCCGAAAGGGGCGGUAAUACCAAAUAAUAUCAUUUGUCGAUAGGCAGAUGACCAAAGAUUUAUCGGCACGGGAGCGGCCUGUCUCCUAUCAGCUUGUUGGUGAGGUAAUGGCUCACCAAGGCAUCGACGGGUAGCGGGACUGAGAGGUUGACCCGCAACAUCGGGACUGAGACACUGCCCGGACCUCCACGGAGGGCUGCAGUAACGGAUAUUGUGCAAUGGGCGAAAGCCUGACACAGCGACGCCGCGUGUAGGAGGAAGUCUUUCGGGAUGUAAACUACUGUCAGGGGGAAGAAAGUGCGCUUCGGCGUAUGAUCUAAC
rnacentral:rRNA from 1 species